GCUGGGAGUUGUGGCGCACUCCUGUAAUCGAGCUACUUCGAGGCCGGUGUGUGUGGAUGGCUUGAGUCGGGGAACAACUGGGUGGUGGUUGGUUACGUUGAUUGGGGGCCCUAGCUGAGCUGCGAGUCAAUAUGGUUGCACGAGAGGAGUCUUGUGUAUCCAGGUUGGUUGAGGAUUGCCGAAUCGGGCCAGGGGUGAAAACCAGCAGCUCAAAGGCAACGCUUUCAGUAGCAGCGGGAUGACUCCUGAGAGUGCCUCCAUCAUUCAGCCUCGACAAUAUAGUCAGACCACAAACCAA
rnacentral:SRP_RNA from 1 species